rnacentral:rRNA from 3 species
GUGGUAAUGCCGGAUGCUCCAGUUGAUCGCAUGGUCUUCUGGGAAAGCUUUCGCGGUAUGGGAUGGGGUCGCGUCCUAUCAGCUUGACGGCGGGGUAACGGCCCACCGUGGCUUCGACGGGUAGCCGGCCUGAGAGGGCGACCGGCCACAUUGGGACUGAGAUACGGCCCAGACUCCUACGGGAGGCAGCAGUGGGGAAUAUUGCACAAUGGGCGCAAGCCUGAUGCAGCGACGCCGCGUGAGGGAUGGAGGCCUUCGGGUUGUAAACCUCUUUUAUCGGGGAGCAAGCGAGAGUGAGUUUACCCGUUGAAUAAGCACCGGCUAACUACGUGCCAGCAGCCGCGGUAAUACGUAGGGUGCAAGCGUUAUCCGGAAUUAUUGGGCGUAAAGGGCUCGUAGGCGGUUCGUCGCGUCCGGUGUGAAAGUCCAUCGCUUAACGGUGGAUCCGCGCCGGGUACGGGCGGGCUUGAGUGCGGUAGGGGAGACUGGAAUUCCCGGUGUAACGGUGGAAUGUGUAGAUAUCGGAAAGAACACCA